GCCUUAAGCUUUGAGAUAGCUCAGUUGGCAGAGCAUGAGACUCUUAAUCUCAGGGUUGUGGGUUUGAGCCCCACGUUGGGCA
rnacentral:tRNA from 1 species